rnacentral:tRNA from 1 species
CUGGAUAUGUAGCUCAGUGGUACAGUGUUUGGCUAGCAUAUAGGAGGCCCUGGGUUUGGUUCCCAGUACUCAAA